UGGAGGCGGAGAAACAGAAGAAACUCUGAAGAAAUUGUUCCAAGAAGAGGUCACCAAGGUCACCAAAUUCAUUGAAGGUGGUGAUGGUCAUUUAUUUGAAGAUGAAGAAAUUAAAAGACUGCUUCAGGGAGUGAAUUAAAAACAUGUAUAUGAUAGAAAAAAUUGGACUUCAUGCUGAGUAUAGAUGAUACAUAUAAAAGAAGUCAAAAUUUGGAGAAAAAAUUUAAAAAGAUAAGUAGAAAAAUGAAGUAACUGUAGAAACCAUAUUUACUCUUUGAUCUCAAAUGCCCAAAAACUGAGUGAAAAUGUGAAUUUAGGCCUACCAGGUAGUCUUGUCAAUAAACUAAAAGAAAAACAGGAGAAUUGAGAAAUAUGUUACA
rnacentral:sRNA from 1 species